AGUGAACGCUGGCGGUAGGCCUAACACAUGCAAGUCGAACGGCAGCACAGUAAGAGCUUGCUCUUACGGGUGGCGAGUGGCGGACGGGUGAGGAAUACAUCGGAAUCUACUUUUUCGUGGGGGAUAACGUAGGGAAACUUACGCUAAUACCGCAUACGACCUACGGGUGAAAGCAGGGGAUCUUCGGACCUUGCGCGAUUGAAUGAGCCGAUGUCGGAUUAGCUAGUUGGCGGGGUAAAGGCCCACCAAGGCGCCGAUCCGUAGCUGGUCUGAGAGGAUGAUCAGCCACACUGGAAGUGAGACACGGUCCAGACUCCUACGGGAGGCAGCAGUGGGGAAUAGGGGACAAUGGGGGGAAGCCUGAUCCAGCCAUACCGCGUGGGUGGAGAAGGCCUUCGGGUUGUAAAGCCCUUUUGUUGGGAAAGAAAAGCAGCAGGUUAAUACCCCGCUGUUCCGACGGUACCCAAAGAAUAAGCACCGGCUAACUUCGUG
rnacentral:rRNA from 1 species